AUCCUGAACCAACAAAACCAAAUGGGAUUAGGGAAAAUGCAGUGCAUUAUUUGGCUCCAAAAGAAGAAAAAGGAAAAAAAAACAGACAAAAAUAAUUGCAUGUACUUCCUUGAUCUGGCAAGACUGAUAAGAAAGUACAAGUCCACUGAAAACAAUUAGGUGUUAAGUACAUGGAUUUUAAAGGGGACACCAGUUGUGCUUUUAAAAUAUUGUAUUACUAGGAGACAUAUGCAGUGCACUAAAAUAAAUAUUAAGAAAUGAAAAGGAAAAAUCCCUAGGAUGUCUAGACAUCUGGGCUGGAGGAGCCUUUCAAAGGAAAAUGGUAAAGAUGGGAUAGAGAUUAGAAUAGAGAAUUUGAGAGCUGGAGGGCAGUCCUGCGUCUGAAUGGCAAGCUGUACCAGGAGCACACAGAGAAACCAGAAUAGCAGAACCUGGAGAGCAGUUAGAAGGAAAUGUAUGUGAGCUGGGAGGCAUGUUUGAAUACACAAUGUCUUAGUUGGGUGGGGCUCUAGAGGCUGAAAUAUCACAGCUGGGCCAUCAGGGAACUAGCCUAUAACACAGAAAGUGGGAGAUGGUCAGAGCCUAGGAAAAUGUCAGAGUUAGAAGGACACAUAGAACAGAGAAUGGCAGAAGCCUUAAAAUAAUAGAAUAACAAUGAUGGAACGAGCCUAAGAGUACAGAACUUCUGACCUGUGAGGGGCUUUAAAAGAAACAAUGCUAUAAUGGAAAAGGAUAUUUUUCUUUUUAAUGUGCUCCGUGGGUCAGUGUGUUGGGACCAACAAGUAAAUUUAAAAAACAACUACAAAGUAUGUUUAUGGUAAAUAUUCAACAUUAAUUUUCAAUGUAAUUUAUUUCAGUGAGGUGGUGCAGCUCUGUAUUAAAACUCAGGGACCGAACUAACAGCCAAAAGGGAUUGGUGAAAAUGUAGUGCCUUAUUUGGCUCCAUAAAAGAAAAAAAACGGGCAAAAAAGUAAUCCAUUCUGUGCCUUGAACUGCUCUGUGGUGAACCUUUGAAUUAAAACUCAGGUACUAAAUCAAUUCAGCCAAAGAGAAAAAGGGGGAAAUGCUGUGCCUUUUGUGGCUCUAAAAUAAGGAAAACCAGGCAAAAAAUAAUCCCAUGCAGUGCCUUGUUUCUGCUCAGUGGUGAUCCUUUGAAUUAAAACUCAGGUAUUUGUCCAAUACAACUAAAGAGCGAAGAGGGAAAUGCUGUGCCUUUUGUGGCUCUAAAAUAAGGAAAACCAGGCAAAAAAUAAUCCCAUGCAGUGCCUUGAUCUGCUCAGUGGUGAUCCUUUGAAUUAAAACUCAGGUAUUAAAUCAAUCUAUCCAAAGAGGAAAAGGGGGAAAAUACAGUGCCUUCUCAGGUUCCAUAAAGUGGAAAAAAACCGGGUAAAAUAUGCAGUGCCUUGAUUUGCUCUGUGGUGAACCUUUGAAUUAAAACUCAGGUACUAAAUCAAUUCAGCCAAAGAGAAAAAGGGGGAAAUGCUGUGCCUUUUGUGGCUCUAAAAUAAGGAAAACCAGGCAAAAAAUAAUCCCAUGCAGUGCCUUGUUUCUGCUCUGUGGUGAUCCUUUGAAUUAAAACUCAGGUACUAAAACCAAUACAGCCAACAGGAAAGGGAAAUACAGUGCCUUCUCAGGCUCCAUAAAUAGGAAACAAAACGGGUAUUAAACUAUUUCCAUACAGUGCCUUGACUUGCUCUGUGGUGAACCUUUGAAUUAAAACUCAGGUAUUAAAUCAAUCUAUCCAAAGAGGAAAGGGGGAAAUACAGUGCCUUCUCUGGCUCCAUAAACAGGAAACAAAACGGGUAUUAAACUAUUCCCAUGCAGUGCCUUGACUUGCUCAGUGGUGAACCUUUGAAUUAAACCUCAGGUAUUACUCCAAUACAACUAAAGAGCGAAGAGGGAAAUGUUGUGCCUUCUAUGUCUCUAAAAUAAGGACAAAACAGGCUAAAACAUAAUCGCAUGCAGUUCCUUUAUCUGCUCAGUGGUGAUCCUUUGAAUUAAAACUCAGGUAUUGAACCAAUUCAGCCAAAGAGGAAAGGGGGAAAUGCAGUGCCUACUCGGGUUCCAUAAAAAGGAAACAAAACGGGUAUUAAAAUUAUUUCCAUGCAGCGCCUUGAUUUGCGCAGUGGUGCAGCUCUGUAUUAAAACUCAGGGACUGAACCAAUACAGCCAAAGGGGAUUGGUGAAAAUGAAGUGCCUUAUUUUGUUCCACAAAAAGAAAAAAAAACGGGCAAAAAAGUAAUUGCAGAAGUGCCUUGAUCUGCCAAAAUGGAAAGUUGAAUAUGCAGUGCCUCAUCUGGAUUAAAAAGGAAAGCAAUGAAGGAAGAAAAUAACUGAUAAAAAAGUAAAUUCACACAACAUUUUAAAGGACCCCACACAUAAACCUGCAAUGGCAGAUCUAGGUGACGAAAACCAAGAGUGAGCCAGCAGGUCAGUGGCUCUGAAUCUGCAGAACCUCUCAGCAGGUUAAUGGAGACUGAGUUGAGCAGCAGCCUAUACACACUCAAUCACACAUAAGCCAAUGGAUCCAAACCCAGUCAGGAAUUUGCAGAGCACCAGACCAGGAGGGCAGUGACCACACCUCUCUCUCCCCAGAUCACACCACUUUGAAAGCACUAAAAAGUUUAAGGUCCCUAGACUGAGCUGUGAAAGCAGCAGAAGGACAUACAAGACAGAAGUUCAGGCCAGUCAUUCCCACUGGAGGCAAGCAGAGCCCAACUCUUAAGUCCAAAGUCAAGAAAUAGGCUGGAAAAAUGAGCAAACAACAAAAAGAACAUGACCAUAAACAGCUACUGUGGACACAGGGAAGCUCAAGAAACAAAGUCAGAAGAAGACAAUGGCUUGAAAACAUCUAUAAGUAAAGACUCAAAGAAAAUGCAGAUUGAACAUAAGUCAAAUAAGAAUUCCUAGAAGAGUUAAGGAAAGAGAUUUUUAAAAAGAGAGCAAACAAAAUGAUUUUAAAAAUCAAAUGAGAGCAGAAGAGGAAAAACUGGGAAACAGGAGCUACACAAGAAAAUUAUGAAAAGAGAUUUAACAGUUUAGUAAAAGAAGUACAAAAAUACUAAAGGAAAUAAUUCCUUUUAAGUCAGAAUUGUCCCAAUGGUAAAAGAAGUACAAAACCUCACUGAAGGUAAGACCUUAAAAAUUAGAACUGAUCAAGUAGAAGCUAAUUACACCAGAGCCAUCAAGAAACAGAAAACAAAAUCCAAAAACUAAGAAGAAGAAGAAAAGGAAAGUGUAAAAUAUCUCAUAUGAAAAACAACUGACCAGGAAAAUAGAUCAAAAAGAGAUAAUUUAAGAACCACUGGAAUACCUGAAAGCUAUGAACAAUAUGAAAAAGGCUCUACAGGUCAUAUAAGAAAUUGUAAAGGAAAACUUCAUUCACAUCUUAGCAAUUCACAUCACAUCUUGAAAGAUCUUCAUUAUUUGACAAAAACUGCUGAGAAAACUGGAAAGCAGUCAGACAGAAGCUAGGCCUAAUCCAACAUCUCAUACCAUAUACCAACAUAAACUCCAAAUGGGUACAUGAUUUAGACAUAAACUGUGAUAAAAUAAAUUAGGGGAGCAUGGAAUAAAUUACCUGUUAGAUCAUUGGAUAAGGGAAGAGUUCAUGACCAGACAGGAGAAAGAGAGGUUCCCAGGAAGUAAAGUGGAUAAUUUUGAUUGCAUAAAAUUUAAAAAGUUUGUGACAAACAAAACCAAUGCAGCUAAAAUAGAAGAAAAACAGGAAACUUGUCAGGGGGAGAUCUGUGCAGCAAGUUUCUCUGAUAAAAGUCUCAUUUCUCA